rnacentral:tmRNA from 1 species
GGGGGUGAACGGUUUCGACAACAGUGAAUCGCGUUAGGUGAAGCGGGCCGAGGUUCAAGGCAGAACUCGUAAACCAUGUCUUGAAAAAACAAGUGCAAAUAAAUCUCGCACUGACUUUGCUCUAGCUGCUUAAAGUAGCUUUAGCCAUAAAGUCCGUCAGCUCAGAAGUUCCUUCGAUCUGAGAUCUGGCGUCGAAAGAAGGAUCACUAACUAGUCGGGUUACGAGAUUAGUGAGGAAAUCAAACAGUAACUUUGACCGUGUUGCUAGCAAGGCCACGAGUAACUAGCAGGUCAAGAACACGCAAUUGUGGAUGCGCCCGGAGAAGCCCUAGUACGACGCUGAUGGACGCGGGUUCAAAUCCCGCCACCUCCAC